UACGUAGGGUCCGAGCGUUGUCCGGAAUUACUGGGCGUAAAGGGCUCGUAGGCGGCCAACUAAGUCAGACGUGAAAAUCCCUCGGCUUAACCCGGGGGAACUGCGUCUGAUACUGGAUGGCUUGAAUCCGGGAGAGGGAUGCGGAAUUCCAGGUGUAGCGGUGAAAUGCGCAGAUAUCGGGAGGAACACCAGUGGCGAAGGCGGAAGCUCUCGGCCGGAACGCGGACGCUGAGGAGCGAAAGCGUGGGGAGCGAACGA
rnacentral:rRNA from 1 species